rnacentral:rRNA from 1 species
AUUGAACGCUGGCGGCAGGCCUAACACAUGCAAGUCGAGCGGAUGAAGAGAGCUUGCUCUCUGAUUUAGCGGCGGACGGGUGAGUAAGGCCUAGGAAUCUGCCUGGUAGUGGGGGAUCACGUCCGGAAACGGGCUCUAAUACCGCAUACGUCCUACGGGAGAAAGCAGGGGACCUUCGGGCCUUGCGCUAUCAGAUGAGCCUAGGUCGGAUUAGCUAGUUGGUGAGGUAAUGGGUAACCAAGGCUACGAUCCGUAACUGGUCUGAGAGGAUGAUAAGUCACACUGGAACUGAGACACGGUCCAGACUCCUACGGGAGGCAGCAGUGGGGAAUAUUGGACAAUGGGCGAAAGCCUGAUCCAGCCAUGCCGCGUGUGUGAAGAAGGUCUUCGGAUUGUAAAGCACUUUAAGUUGGGAGGAAGGGCAGUAAGUUAAUACCUUGCUGUUUUGACGUUACCGACAGAAUAAGCACCGGCUAACUUCGUGCCAGCAGCCGCGGUAAAAC